rnacentral:rRNA from 1 species
CCUACGGGUGGCAGCAGUGAGGAAUAUUGGUCAAUGGACGAGAGUCUGAACCAGCCAAGUAGCGUGAAGGAUGACUGCCCUAUGGGUUGUAAACUUCUUUUAUAUGGGAAUAAAAUGUUCCACGUGUGGGAUUUUGUAUGUACCAUAUGAAUAAGGAUCGGCUAACUCCGUGCCAGCAGCCGCGGUAAUACGGAGGAUCCGAGAGUUAUCCGGAUUUAUUGGGUUUAAAGGGAGCGUAGGUGGAUUGUUAAGUCAGUUGUGAAAGUUUGCGGCUCAACCGUAAAAUUGCAGUUGAAACUGGCAGUCUUGAGUACAGUAGAGGUGGGCGGAAUUCGUGGUGUAGCGGUGAAAUGCUUAGAUAUCACGAAGAACUCCGAUUGCGAAGGCAGUUCACUGGACUGCAACUGACACUGAGGCUCGAAAGUGUGGGUAUCAAACAGGAUUAGAUACCCGUGUAGUC